rnacentral:lncRNA from 1 species
AGGAAGUCGCGCUACUGACGGAGGGACCCUCGCUGGGGGUCGCGAGGUGAGUGUGGGGCCCCUCUCAACCCGGUACCUCACCUUUUUUUUUCUGGUCCACGCGCUGAUUAAGGCUCGGUUUUUGCCCGAUCAAUUGAGCCUCGUCAUGGCAGUGUAUUGAAAGGCUCAACAUAUGCUGGUAUGCAAAAACUGGGGUCGAGGCGGCCAGCUGCGGCGGCCGUAGAGGCGGGAUUUGUCGCGGCGGCAGCGGCGGGAUACGACCCCGUCUCUCUCACGCGCCUCCGACACACAACAACACACGGACCCCCCCAAAAAAAAAACAACAACACGGUGGGCAUGGGGGCGCGGUGAGAGACGUGUGCCCUACCAGUUCUGCCCGACCCGUCGUCCUGUCGACGUCCGUCGCCGUCGUUGUCGCCGCCUCUCAUCACGCCCUUGGCCAUGCUGACAACGUCAUCCGUCACCUCCUGACCACGUUCAUCCGUCUCAGAGACCAACUUGAGAACUGGGACGAUCAUCGAGUGGUUUUGUCAGCAACUGAUUGUGUGUCAAGCCAAAGGAGUCGCUGCCCGUGUCUGUUCUUCUUAGAUGAAGUAUAUCGUACUGCCCCCAUGCGCUACUCUUCGAUAACCAUCUUCUCCUCCAAUUCGUCCGAGUGAUCAGUGAUAUAUUCUUGAGUCUCUCAACCUUGCUGACCAACACGUGCUCAGUGUGCAAGUAACUUGUAUGCAAAUUGAUAGAGGAUUAAGAUCAUGGGUAUUGCCACAAAAAAAGGGGAAGUAAGAAAUGUAAGUAAAGGGGAAUAAUGCACAAAGAAUUGUACAUAAAAUAAAUCUAGAGCAAGCACAACAAAAAUAAUAACUAAAAAAUGACAAGGAAAAAUAUAGCGAAGAUGCUAGAAAAAAAAUAUUUUACGAAAACCAUGAAAAAGUGAGUAGUGAUUCAAGAUGACAUGGGGGGGGGGGGGGAAGGGUAUUGAAGAGAACAGGAGACGAACAAAUCAAAUAGAAUUAACGAAGACACGAAUACAGAAAUAAAAGAAAAUUCCAGUCAACUGAAGUAAACCCAGAAUACCAGAAGGGGAAGAGAAAGGAGAAUACCAGAAGAGGAAGAGAAAGGAGAAUACCAUUACCAGAAGGGGAAGAGAGAGGAGAAUACCAUUACCAGGAAGAGGAAGUACCAGCAACACUCCCACACAUUCACGCAGUUUACCGUUUCGUUUCUUCUCCAACGAGAAGGGUCUCCGCUCUCCAUUUUGAGUCUUAUUGGUAUUGACCUUGACGUUAAUAUUGGCCUGGAUAUUGGCUUAGACUUUAUGUAUUCAAUUUUAGUAUUUUAUUAAUAUUGUUAUUAUUAAAUUUUAUUACUGUAAUUAUUAGCUGAAUUAUCCGUGUUUUGACUGUAAAUUAAUUAGUCUUUGUUAUACUAUUUUUUCGUAAUAAUUGUGAUUAUUAAUACCAAUGUUAUUGUGAUUUUUAUUAUUUUUGUAAUUAUAGAAAUUUUUUUGCCACACAAGUUAUUCUUUUGGUCACUUAUUCUGUAUAUUAAAAAGUACCAGUGCUUAAAAGUUACUCUAAAACAUA